GGCGGGGGUCAGGCUGGGGCUUAGAUUUUGCACCGGUGGGCACGGCCCCGAGUUCUCCGAUUGCAAGCAGCGUUUGAACGACGCUCGCAGACGUGGGGUUUGGGUUUUGGGUGCAGAGCCGGGAGCUGGACUCGACGGUCUGUGUGACCCAACGAGGGAUGAGCCGUGACCCCGUGGCCGUGCGGCCCUCGCUGUGUGAAGCAGCGAAACGAGCCACGUGAACGCGCGCCGCCCAGCCCUCACCUACCGCCGUCCGCCCCACGCGCUGUGCUGCAGCGCACGAUAUGAUAUCCGCUGUGCCCCGUGCAGCAGCACACAGACACACGGCCCGCUGCAGCCACAGCCCCGUACCUUGCAUACAGCAAAGCGACAGCACAGCUUGCCCUGCGUCCCGCCUUCCCUGCUCCGUGUGGAGCCGGGCAGGGCCUCGUGCUGUGUGUGCUACUGGAUCUGCGUGCCCUCUCCCUGACACGGGGCAGCCCAGCACUGCUGCGGUCGCAGCAGAUCAAUCUGCCCACAGAAAUCCGUACAACUGAAAGUCACCGCAAACCAACGAGAAAUCGGUGUAAAAAUACCUCAAAACCACAGUGUGACAUCACACAGCACACGGGGACCGCCGCUGCAGCAUGAAUGAAUGCCCCCACCAAGCUCGGAUGUGCGCUCAGAAAGGCAGGCCGUGUUCUGUGCCGUGUAACAACCACACACCAGUGCUAGAACCAUAUAGAAACAUUUGAGUUGGAAUGAGCUCUGAAAUACCAUCUGGUCCAAACCUGUGCAACAAGCAGAGAUGCCUACAGCUCCAUCAGGUGCUCAGAGCCCCAUCCAGCCUGACCGUGAGUGUCUCCAUGGACAGGGCAUCCACCACGUCUCUGAGCAACCCGUGCCCUUAUUGUAAAAGACUUUUGCUUUAUAACCGGUAAUAUCCAGAGGGAUGCUGUGCAGCAGGCAGGCUGGGCUGGCCACACUGCAUGCUGAGUGGGACGUGGUUGGACAGAGCCACACAAACCCCAGCAAGCAGAAGGUUUGUGCUGGUCUUGCCAGAGCAGCGCGGGCUGAGUCUGGGGCUGCUGCAGUGACCCCAGGAACAGUUCCUCCUCUGCUUAUCAAAUCCCGGCAUGCCUCUGUCAGCCUACGGGAUUUCUGGCUUUCAUCCAGAUUGGUCCUGCAGAAACCAGAAAAUCAGCAGCCAUCAGAGCUCGGUGCCGUGGCAGGGCGUACCACGCGUGCCGGCCUGGGGGCACGGUGCAUCAGGACGACGAUGUCUCCCCAGGGCUCACGCUGGCUGACAGCGCUUGGCAGGCAGCCUGGCUGCAAGGGCUUCAUGCAUAAAUACAUAUACAUGGCCAUGAGAUACGCUCCUGACAUUCACAUAUCAGUUUCGCAAGAGGGGAUGAUCGGAUUUAACAGCUCACUGUCACUGCUGUUGUUCUUCCUCCCUUCCCGUUGCCCUUUCCCACCCACUGCUCCUUGGAUAUCUCCAUGAGCCUCUUUGGCAUACCAUGCUGUGCCAGCGCCAUGGCCGGUGCAGGCCAACCCCAUGCACAAGCAUAAGGCUCCCCCACCAUGCUGCCUGGCACUGGGGCAGUGCCCUCGGGGCAUCCCAGCCCAGCUGCUGCAGCUGCCAUGUCAAUACCAGGCCAGACGGCACGCUGCAUGUAAGGCUUCCAAUUCAAAGUCGUCUAGGCUGAAUGGCCCUUGCAGUUUCUCUGUUACUGCUGGAAAUGGCAAUAGGGAUCAUUGGCACUUAGUUUUUAUAUCUUUGAGAUCUUAUCUGAAGAGCCCCUGUCUGCCAGUACCAGUAACAGUUCUCAAGCAUUGUGGCAGCAGACAUGGGCUAGCUGAGCAACCUGCCUAAGAGCACAGAGAUGUUCCCAGUUUUGCUGCUAACAUGACAACACAAGCUCUGACCUUUUAUUUCUGGCUCUCAGCAGCGCCUCUCUCCCACACUGUCGCCAACAGGCGUGUUGCUGAUUGACGUCAGUGGCCAUGGCUCCCAGAGGAGAAGCUCCUGCAGAGCUCCUGGUUGGCCUCUUUUCCACCAUUAAUAAACCAUGGUAGAAGGACGGAGCGACCCUUGAGCGCCGUUACGCUCCAAACCUGCCACAGAGGUAUUACUGCAGGCACCGCCUUUUGUUCCUGGUCCCCAGCUGGUUUGGGCUUGGAGAUAAAGUUGAACCAGAUGAAAAGAUAAAACACUGCCAUUGAAAUCCGCCCCAUAACCUCUGGAGAUCUGAUUUGUGAUUCUUCAAACUUUUCUUCUGUUAACACAGUUGAAUACAUUUGUUUGCUCCUUCCUGCAUGUUGUUACCAGCAAAACCUCCAAUUACUAAAGGCAAAAAAGGUCAUAAUUCCUGCUGUUUGUAUUUUGCAUUUCUCCUAGCCUGGAUAAUGAAAAUCAAUAAAACCACUUUCCCUGCCAAGUCUCAGUGGUACAAUGUUGGUGAAUAAAGGGAGAGCAAACUAACAGCGUUCUUGAGAACUGCGGUAGAAUUUAAAAAAAUACAAUUAAAAAGAUCUAUUUGCAAGCUACUUAAAGGCACAUUCUUCCAAAGUUUAAUCUGAACCUCAUUUAAAGUUGAAAUAAUAAAUAAAGGAAUUGUGAUAUAGACUUGCAAAGUAAGAU
ensembl:lncRNA